rnacentral:rRNA from 2 species
AACGGCGAGUGAAGAGGAAGAGCUCAAAGUUGGAACCUGUUUGGCCUAGCUAAACCGGAUUGUAGACUGUAGAAGUGUUUUCCAGGCAAGCCGAGUAAAUAAGUCCUUUGGAACAGGGCAUCAUAGAGGGUGAGAAUCCCGUCUUUGGCUUGAGCAUUUGCCUUUUGUGAUACGCUUUCAAAGAGUCAGGUUGUUUGGGAAUGCAGCCUAAAUUGGGUGGUAAAUCUCACCUAAAGCUAAAUAUUGGCGAGAAACCGAUAGCGAACAAGUACCGUGAGGGAAAGAUGAAAAGAACUUUGAAAAGAGAGUUAAACAGUAUGUGAAAUUGUUAAAAGGGAACCGUUUGGAGCCAGACUGGCUUGUCUGUAAUCAAUCUAGGCUUCGGCCUGGAUGCACUUGCAGGCUAUGCCUGCCAACGACAAUUUGACUUGAGGGAAAAAACUAGGGGAAAUGUGGCCCACUUGUGGGUGUUAUAGUCCCUUAGAAAAUACCUUGGGUUGGAUUGAGGAACGCAGCGAAUGCUUAUUGGCGAGUUUUCCAGGAAGGUUUUCUGAGGUACUACGGUAUCAAGGUUGAUCUUUUUGGUUAUACUUCUAUUCGCUUAGGUUGUUGGCUUAAUGACUCUAAAUGACCCGUCUUGAAACACGGACCAAGGAGUCCACCAUUAGUGCGAGUAUUUGGGUGCCAAACCCAUAUGCGUAAGGAAACUGAUUGAUACGAAUCCAUUAAGGAGGCAGUAUCGUCCGGCGCUGACGUUUUAUACUGAAUUGACCGAGACAAAGCACUAAUGAUGGGACCCGAAAGAUGGUGAACUAUGCCUGAAUAGGGUGAAGCCAGAGGAAACUCUGGUGGAGGCUCGUAGCGAUUCUGACGUGCAAAUCGAUCGUCAAUUUG